GAUAUCGAUAUUUUCACUCUAACACUUCGCCAGAAAGAACAUAAGAGUAUUUCCUAAAAAUGUUGAACUAUUUCUUUAACACCUUCAGAAACAAAAAC